UAGGGAAUCUUCGGCAAUGGGGGGAACCCUGACCGAGCAACGCCGCGUGAGUGAAGAAGGUUUUCGGAUCGUAAAGCUCUGUUGUUAAGGAAGAACGAGUGUGAGAAUGGAAAGUUCAUACUGUGACGGUACUUAACCAGAAAGCCACGGCUAACUACGUGCCAGCAGCCGCGGUAAUACGUAGGUGGCAAGCGUUGUCCGGAUUUAUUGGGCGUAAAGCGAGCGCAGGCGGUCAAUUAAGUCUGAUGUGAAAGCCCCCGGCUCAACCGGGGAGGGUCAUUGGAAACUGGUUGACUGGAGUGCAGAAGAGGAGAGUGGAAUUCCAUGUGUAGCGGUGAAAUGCGUAGAUAUAUGGAAGAAUACCAGUGGCGAAGGCGACUCUCUGGUCUGUAACUGACGCUGAGGCUCGAAAGCGUGGGGAGCGAACAGG
rnacentral:rRNA from 1 species